rnacentral:tRNA from 1 species
AUUUAGGGUUCAAACCCUUCUGUACUCUUUUAUUUUUCUAAAAGAACUCUUUUCUUUGUGGCACUAUGAGCCCUAAAUA